rnacentral:rRNA from 1 species
GACGAACGCUGGCGGCGUGCUUAACACAUGCAAGUCACGGGGGCUUGGGGGCGACUCUGAGCAACCGGCGAACGGGUGCGUAACACGUGAGCAACCUGCCGAUCUGUGGGGGAUAGCCGGGCUAACGCCCGGGUAAUACCGCAUACGGUUCCUGCGAGGCGUCUUGACGGGAAAGAAACCUCUGGGGCAGAUCGAGGGGCUCGCGGCCUAUCAGCUGGUUGGGGGGUAAUGGCCCACCAAGGCGACGACGGGUAGCUGGUCUGAGAGGAUGG